GACGAACGCUGGCGGCGUGCCUAACACAUGCAAGUCGAACGGAGAAAUUCAGCAAUGGAUUUCUUAGUGGCGAACGGGUGAGUAACGCGUAGACAACCUGCCUCCAAGAUGGGGACAACACCGCGAAAGUGGUGCUAAUACCGAAUGUUCUUUUUGUGGCGCAUGCCGGAAAAAGCAAAGGUGGCCUCUAUAUAAAAGCUACCGCUUGGAGAUGGGUCUGCGUCUGAUUAGCUAGUUGGUGAGGUAACGGCUCACCAAGGCGACGAUCAGUAGCAGGGCGGAGAGGAUGACCGGCCACACUGGGACUGAGACACGGCCCAGACUCCUACGGGAGGCAGCAGUGGGGAAUCUUCCGCAAUGGACGAAAGUCUGACGGAGCAACGCCGCGUGAGUGAAGAAGGUUUUCGGAUUGUAAAGCUCUGUCUUUUGGGACGAAUGUGCUCUUUGUAAAUAAUGAGGAGCAAUGACGGUACCGAAGGAGGAAGCCACGGCUAACUACGUGCCAGCAGCCGCCGUAA
rnacentral:rRNA from 1 species